rnacentral:rRNA from 1 species
CUUGGUGAACAUAGCAAGCGUGAACCACCCGAUCCCAUCCCGAACUCGGAAGUGAAACCGCUUAGCGCCGAUGAUAGUGUGGCAGGUUGCCAUGUGAAAGUAGGUCAUCGCCAAGCUC